rnacentral:rRNA from 1 species
GACGAACGCUGGCGGCGUGCUUAACACAUGCAAGUCGAACGAUGAAGCUGAGCUUGCUCCGGUGGAUUAGUGGCGAACGGGUGAGUAACACGUGAGCAAUCUGCCCUUGACUCUGGGAUAACUGCGGGAAACUGUAGCUAAUACCGGAUACUUUCACUGGAAGGCAUCUUCUGGUGAAGAAAGAAUUUCGGUCAAGGAUGAGCUCGCGGCCUAUCAGCUUGUUGGUGAGGUAACGGCUCACCAAGGCGACGACGGGUAGCCGGCCUGAGAGGGUGACCGGCCACACUGGGACUGAGACACGGCCCAGACUCCUACGGGAGGCAGCAGCGGGGAAUAUUGCACAAUGGGCGCAAGCCUGAUGCAGCAACGCCGCGUGAGGGAUGAAGGCCUUCGGGUUGUAAACCUCUUUUAGCAGGGAAGAAGCGAAAGUGACGGUACCUGCAGAAAAAGCACCGGCUAACUACGUGCCAGCAGCCGCAGUAA